rnacentral:rRNA from 1 species
GAGAAAGUUGAUCCCUGGCUCAGGACGAACGCUGGCGGCGUGCCUAAUACAUGCAAGUCGAGCGGACAGAUGGGAGCUUGCUCCCUGAUGUCAGCGGCGGACGGGUGAGUAACACGUGGGUAACCUGCCUGUAAGACUGGGAUAACUCCGGGAAACCGGGGCUAAUACCGGAUGCUUGAUUGAACCGCAUGGUUCAAUUAUAAAAGGUGGCUUUUAGCUACCACUUACAGAUGGACCCGCGGCGCAUUAGCUAGUUGGUGAGGUAACGGCUCACCAAGGCGACGAUGCGUAGCCGACCUGAGAGGGUGAUCGGCCACACUGGGACUGAGACACGGCCCAGACUCCUACGGGAGGCAGCAGUAGGGAAUCUUCCGCAAUGGACGAAAGUCUGACGGAGCAACGCCGCGUGAGUGAUGAAGGUUUUCGGAUCGUAAAACUCUGUUGUUAGGGAAGAACAAGUACCGUUCGAAUAGGGCGGUACCUUGACGGUACCUAACCA